UUAUUAUUAUUAUUAUUUCAUUUUAGACAGGCAGCUGAUGCUGGUGCGUCUAAAUCAUAGUUCACUUAGCACGAUUUCACUGUUUUGAUAGUUUGUCGAGUCUAUUUUUAAAUUGAUUCACACUUGUAGAGUUCACAACUUCAGAGGGUAAUUUGUUCCAAGCAUUUACUAUACGAUUUGCAAUAAAGUUUUUCCCGAUAUUUGUUUUAUGCUUUGUUGUUACUAGUUUAAGGUAGUGUCCUCUUGUGCGCGUGUUUGGGUUUCGAGUGAACAGGUCGCUUAGCUCUGGACAGUCGUAAUAUCCAUGCAUAAUUUUGAACGUCUCGAUCAAGUCGCCACGUUCCCGCCUUUUUUGCAGUGUUGUCAGGCCCAGCUUGACUAAUCUUUCCUCGUACGAAAGUGACUUUAGCCGUGCGGGAAUUUUAGUAAAUCUACGCUGUACUCGCUCGAUCAUGUCAAUAUCUUUUUUGAAGUAUGGAUUCCAUAUCUGAAAGCCAUAUUCCAGAAUUGGUCUUAUGUAGGUCUUGUAUAUCUUUAGCAUUGUUUCGGUGGUGAGAAUACGAAAAGCUUUUCUGAUUAUGUAGAUUAUGGAAUUAGCCUUUUUUACCAUUUGUGAAAUAUGGGGUUCCCACUUGAGAUCGUCAGACAUAAUGACUCCUAGGUCUUGUUGGGACUGUGCAUUUUGAUUCGUUGAGGUUUAUAAGCCAGUUUAGGCACCAGUCCCUAAUUCGGUUCAGAUCUGACUGUAGUUUGCUAUGGUCUAUCAUAGGGUUUACAAACAGCUUGGAGUCAUC